CUUCCUCACCAUGUGCAUCAAGGAGAGUCUGCAGUUGCAUCCCCUGAUCACUGCUGUCUCCCGCUGCUGCACUCAGGACAUUGUGCUCCCAGAUGGUCGGGUCAUCCCCAAAGGUGUCAUCUGCAGAAUAAGUAUUUUCGGGACCCAUCACAAUCCAACUGUGUGGCCUGACCCCGAGGUCUAUAACCCCUUUCGAUUUGAUGCAGACAGCUCCAAGGGUAGGU